rnacentral:misc_RNA from 1 species
GUCGGAUCCGACUGAUUGCUCCAUGGCGUUUUUGUAUUUGCUGUGUUCUGUUAGUAUUCGCACUAAUCUGCAGAAGUUUCUCGGGUUUGCGCCGCCGCGGGCUGCGGCGGGGGCUGGGCUGUUCCCUAUGCCGGAUGCCAAGACCAGCUGAUGUGGAUACAGUGUUUUAGCGUGAACCAAUGGUAUGAGUCGGCAAGCCUACUAGCAGAGAAGUGAG